rnacentral:rRNA from 1 species
UACGGAGGGUGCGAGCGUUAAUCGGAAUUACUGGGCGUAAAGCGCGCGUAGGCGGUUUGGUAAGCUGGAUGUGAAAGCCCUGGGCGUCAACCUGGGAACGUGCAUCCAGAACUGCCAAGCUAGAGUAUGGUAGAGGGCAGUGGAAUUUCCGGUGUAGCGGUGAAAUGCGUAGAGAUCGGAAGGAACACCAGUGGCGAAGGCGACUGCCUGGACCAAUACUGACGCUGAGGUGCGAAAGCUGGGGGAGCAAACAGGAUUGAAACCACC